UCUUGAGUUUCCUGGGACAACGGAGAGAUACCUGAGAAGGAGAACCAGGAGAAUGAUAACAAGGAGGGCCUCAAGUACUGGUCUAUGGAGGGAGCCCUCCAUCACCCCGGACACCCCCCUACUGCUGGUCCAGGAAGACUUCCAGGCUUCUCAGGCAGACCUCUAGCCAGGUGACUGUGGCCAACAGAAACUUCAGAGAGUGAAACGGUGGAUAAAAGGGCCCUCAUCGAAGCGUGCACAUCAUUGAACCCCACUGCCUAACACGGUACCUUACCUGUACUUGGUUUCAAUCGAGCAAGAACUCAGUGAUCCAUGCUGCCAGCAGCAACAAAUAUGGAGCAUCACUGGACUGAACAAAAUGUCUUGAUGGCAUGUGGUAUUGGUGAGUUAGCCUCAUCAGUCAUCAUUUAGCAAUAAGUUUUUGCAUUUUCUUUAGAAUUAAUUUAUUAACAGGGCUUCUUAUAAAUAUUUUGGUAUCGGGGUAGAUUUACAGAGAGGAAAGAAGUUAUUUCAUGAAGGUUGGAUCUGAUGUGUCACCUUUGAUAAGAAAAUGUGGCUUGGCCUAAAAAUAUUGGAGUCGUGACAUGGAUAAGAUAAUAUUUAAAAGGGUACGGAAUCUCAUAAUGAAACCAUCAAAGGGUGAUAAAGUAUUGCAACAACUACUAUAUGAAGAAGAAAUUGUUUUGAUUGUAGAGAUUCUGCUAUAAGAGGAAGAAAGAGGCUGGGACCAUUUCCAUCAGGAAAGGUUUUCCUUAAAGCUGAGAAAGAGCCCAUCUGUUUGGGACCUGUUAUUCCUUCUGGGAUCCAAAAAUACCUCCACUAGGACUCUUUAAGAGCAACUACCUGAAUUCUCAAGGGGGUUUUGAAUUUGAACUCACUCUGGCCAGAGCCAUCCAGAUCUUUCUCUAAGAUUUCUCUCUCUCCCUGACCUAUUCCUGGAUGCCUGAAUUAAAAGCUAGCUGGCCAGAGGAGGGUUCAAGGCACCCAGCCUUUGAACCCUGAGAACAUGGGGGGCCAGUCUGCCAGCGGGGACCAGUGUUAGCGUUUCCUAUUCCCCACUUUCUUUGCCCAACACCCCUACCUCGUGUGAACCCAAAUAAAUUGUUUACUGCUUUAGAAUUAGGUCUGGUU
rnacentral:lncRNA from 1 species